rnacentral:rRNA from 1 species
UAUUGGACAAUGGGGGAAACCCUGAUCCAGCCAUGCCGCGUGUGUGAAGAAGGCCUUGUGGUUGUAAAGCACUUUAAGCAGUGAAGAAGACUCCAUGGUUAAUACCCAUGGACGAUGACAUUAGCUGCAGAAUAAGCACCGGCUAACCCUGUGCCAGCAGCCGCGGUAAUACAGAGGGUGCAAGCGUUAAUCGGAAUCACUGGGCGUAAAGCGAGCGUAGGUGGCUUGAUAAGUCAGAUGUGAAGUCCCGGGGCUUAACCUGGGAACUGCAUCUGAUACUGUUGGGCUAGAGUAGGUGAGAGGGAGGUAGAAUUUCAGGUGUAGCGGUGAAAUGCGUAGAGAUCUGAAGGAAUACCGAUGGCGAAGGCAGCCUUCUGGCAUAAUACUGACACUGAGGCUCGAAAGCGUGGGUAGCAAACAG